CUGCUGCCUUCCGUAGGAGUCUGGUCCGUGUCUCAGUACCAGUGUGGGGGACCUUCCUCUCAGAACCCCUACGCAUCGUCGCCUUGGUGGGCCGUUACCCCGCCAACAAGCUAAUGCGACGCAUGACCAUCCGUAGCCGGAAUCGCUUCCUUUAAACCCACAGAGAUGCCUCCAUGGGUUGUUACGCGGUAUUAGACGGAAUUUCUUCCGCUUACUCCCCCUGCUACGGGCAGGUUUCAUACGUGUUACUCCACCCGUGCGCCGGUCGCCCGGG
rnacentral:rRNA from 1 species